rnacentral:rRNA from 1 species
UACAGAGGUCUCAAGCGUUGUUCGGAUUCAUUGGGCGUAAAGGGUGCGUAGGCGGCGCGGUAAGUCGGGUGUGAAAUCUCGGAGCUUAACUCCGAAACUGCAUUCGAUACUGCCGUGCUUGAGGACUGGAGAGGAGACUGGAAUUUACGGUGUAGCGGUGAAAUGCGUAGAUAUCGUAAGGAAGACCAGUGGCGAAGGCGGGGUCUCUGGACAGUUCCUGACGCUGAGCACGAAGGCCAGGGGAGCAAACGGG